rnacentral:lncRNA from 1 species
CGGGGCUGUGCAGAAGAUGACUUCUCAGCUGCUCAGCAACCAGAAUGAAAACCAUCAACUCUCGAAAUAGGUGAAGCCUCUCCCUCUAUUCAUGUUCCAGGUGAAACUUAAAGUCCCAUUGAGGGCUGCAGUGGUGCAAAAAGGUAAUGAUUCCAUUUAUUUGGGAGUAAUUUAAGAAAUAACCCAGUCAGCAUGUUUUUUCCAAACAUAGGUUUUCCUCUCCUUUAAAAGUAUACAAUUUCCUAAAUCAAACUCUCAGUGAAAUACUGUGUAG